GACGAACGCUGGCGGCGUGCCUAACACAUGCAAGUCGAGCGGGGUUGAAGCGAGGGGUAACUCGAGUUUCUACCUAGCGGCGGACGGGUGAGUAACGCGUGGGCAACCUGCCUCAAGGACUGGGAUAACAGCUCGAAAGGGCUGCUAAUACCGGAUAAGCCUAUGGCCUCGCAUGGGGCCAUGAGCAAAGGGGAAACCCGCCUUGAGAUGGGCCCGCGUCCCAUCAGCUAGUUGGUGAGGUGAAGGCUCACCAAGGCGACGACGGGUAGCCGGCCUGAGAGGGUGACCGGCCACACUGGGACUGAGACACGGCCCAGACUCCUACGGGGGGCAGCAGUGGGGAAUCUUGCACAAUGGGCGAAAGCCUGAUGCAGCGACGCCGCGUGAGCGAAGAAGGCCUUCGGUUGUAAGACUCUGUCUGGAGGGACGGAAGGAAGUGACGGUACCUCCGGAGGAAGCCACGGCUAACUACGUG
rnacentral:rRNA from 1 species